rnacentral:lncRNA from 1 species
CUACAGAUAUCGCUAUGAUGUAUCUGUAUACUAUACAUAUAUCGCUUUAAAGCUCCGCCCACUGCAGGACUGAAUAUUGUAUGAACCUACGUGAUCUCAGAAUGUGUAUUGCGAAUUAUCGAUUACUUGUAUACGUUCUUAGUCUGUUUGUUUUCAAACAUUUCUUUAGAGCAAUAAGAAUCACACCAAUUUUCUGAUAAUACACACAUGAACAACAGUUGAUUUCAAAACUUGAAUGUGUAUGAUUGUGUAAAAAAAACAACCAUGUCAAUUUCAGCAUGCAUGUUUAGUGAAUGUCGAGUCUGAAGCGUAGGACAACUCGUACACUCCUGUUUCAAAUUGGACAAAGUUUUGUUAUUUGUUUUUACACCUGAAAUUAGUUGUUCAGUUGAAAUCGAUAAUUAUUCACCUAUGUAUUAUUGUUGACCAUUCGAGAUCCUUUUUUUGCGAACCCGUCUUCAGCUGAAUGUGUGAUUACUGUAUCGUAUUACUACACCGGCC